rnacentral:rRNA from 1 species
CAUAGCCUUUAGCCCUAACCGUAUUAAAGGUAACGCCUGCCCAGUGAGUAUUUAAACGGCCGCGGUAUCCUAACCGUGCAAAGGUAGCGUAAUCACUUGUCUCCUAAAUAGAGACCAGUAUGAAUGGCUAAAUGAGGAUUAAACUGUCUCCUAACACCAAUCAGUGAAACUGAUCUCCCAGUACAAAAGCUGGGAUAAAUACAUAAGACGAGAAGACCCUGUGGAGCUUAAAAUUAAGGCCACCUAGAACAACCAACCACCAGCUAUGGCUCACAAUUUUAAGUUGGGGCGACUUCGGAACCAAACAAAACUUCCGAGCACAAGAACAUCCCUCAUACCAAGGCCCACACGCCUAAGCACAAACUGACCCAGUCUAACUGAUCAACGAACCAAGUUACCCCAGGGAUAA